AAAAGAAAGGCUUGAUUCAAGUGUGUUGGAUGGAAGAGCUAAGUGGUUUGAGGCAAAGAUGCCUCUUGGGGAGCCCUUGGGCUCUGUAAACAGCUGUUGGAGAGAUCUUUCCAGAACUGGCUCCCCUAGUAGCUUUGGGCUUUGAUUCACAGGCCACAAUUGCUAUAUACCCAGGUCUUUUCAGGAACAUGUCUGUAUCCAGGCAGGUCCAUGCAGAAACUAUAAUCUAGUUUUAGUCCUAAGGAUGCUAGUAACCUUUGUGUGGCCUGCCACACUGAAUCAGCUAGAGAUUCCUAGGCCUCAAGUCUCCUCAGAUCCUGAUUCAGCAGGGGUGUGUGUGGACAUCUGCAUGUCAAAUCUCCCAGGGAAUGCUGGGCCAGCCAGGCUAGUGACCCCCAGAAACCCUGCCCCGUGUAGGAGCACAGCAGCCUGGUAGAGUGAUUAUAACUGUGGGCUCAGGUGCUGAUGGCCAGGGUUUAUAUCCUGGGUCCUGCAGUUUUAGUAACUGUGGCACCUUGGCUUGUUACUUAGACACCCUGUGCCUCAGUUUCCCCAUCUUUAAAAUGGAGAUAAUGGUGGUGGGGAAAUCAGGAUGCUGUGACAAGGAUUAAAUGAGUUGCUGCACCAGAACCUCAGCUCACACUUUACAAAGCUGGGUGGAUGGGUGGGGUGCCUAGUUUUUGGCUACCUCUUGUAUGUUCCUUGAGCCUUGGCUCUAACGAAGCCAGAGCCUUGGCCCCGCUUGCAGGGGGAAGGCAGAAGUCUCUCUCAGACUCCCCUCCAAGACACAGAUCCCUUCCCCCCAGGAGCCCACAAUUCAGUGGAGACAACAUAAGCCAGACACACACACAGGAGGGACUUUUUUCCAAAACGCAAAUGAGUGCAAAAGACAGUUUCUAUGGUUACUACACACACCUUUAAAAAAAGAGAAGGGUGCGUGUGUGUGUACGUGUGUGUUUAACACGAGACAGAACCCAAAGACCACCUUGAGAUUGCUUGCAGUAGACAGCCAGAAGGGAGGAUAGGCAGAGGGGUGGACUGCCCACCACAUGCCCUUGGCGUGGCCUUGACCUACAGCUACUUCCAUGGCUGAACCAGGAAGCAAGAAGCCUCCUCCAGUGGUUGUCAGCCACACAAUGCCAAGGGCCAGUCCCUUCCAGGCCAAACCAGAGACAGGGAUGUGAUUCUCCAGUUCAUUUUAGUCAGCUAUGAAACCUCAGCCCUGCUGCAGGGGUAGGGGAAGAAAUCAGUAUGUGUAUGGCCAGCAAUUAUCACACAUUUCCUAAAAUGUAAUGUGUUCACUGCUUAGCUCUUCAGCUUAAGUGACCGAAUGAAGAUUCCUUUUCCCUGGAAUCACUCUGUGACUGUCAGGGCCAUCAGGGAGUGAGAAACUCACUUGAGGAUGCUGAGUAUUUGUGAAUUUAUCUCCUCUUUAAGAUACAGGCCCCAGAUUCUGGCCCCUGGCAGUUUCCCUGCAUUGUCUUGAGUCUGGAGCUUUCUGCUUGGGUGGGUCUCAGAAAUCUUACUGAUUUCUGCUUUUUUGCCCACUAAAGGAGAUAAUUUCACUGCUAAACGGGUCAAAUUCUCUUCUGAGGAUGGGUCUAAAUUCUUGCUAAAUAUACCUGAAUUAACUCUGUCACUGUCUAAAUAUUUGUGUGUCCCCAUAAAUUCCUAUGUUGAAAUCCUAACCCCCCAGGUGAUGGUAUUGGAGGUGGGGCCUUUGGGAGGUGAAGACGUCAUGAGGGUGGAGCCCUUAUGAAUGGGAUUAAUGCCCUGAUCAAAGAGGCCCAGAGCUCACUCUUGCCUCUUCUGCCAUGUGAGGACACAGUGAGAAGACGGCUGACCACGAACCAGGAAGAGGACCCCCACGGCUGCUAGCACAUUGAUCUCAGACUCCUCAGCUUUCAGAACUGUGAGGAAGCCAUGAGGACAGAGCCCUUACAAAUGGGAUUCAUCACUUUCUAAAAGAUGUGU
rnacentral:lncRNA from 1 species